UACCAGCACCCCGAGUUGUCGGGACGAUUAUUGGGCCUAAAGCAUCCGUAGCCUGUUCUGCAAGUCCUCCGUUAAAUCCACCUGCUCAACAGAUGGGCUGCGGAGGAUACCGCAGAGCUAGGAGGCGGGAGAGGCAAACGGUACCUCUGAGUGGGUGAGGGUAAAAUCCUCUGAUCCAUUGAAGACCACCAGUGGCGAAGGCGGCUUGCCAAUACGCGCUCGACGGUGAGGGAUGAAAGCUGGGGGAGCAAACCGG
rnacentral:rRNA from 1 species